rnacentral:rRNA from 1 species
UGGAAAAGGAUGUGGGAUUUCGAAGACAGCUAGGAUGUUGGCUUAGAAGCAGCCACACAUUCAAAGAGUGCGUAAUAGCUCACUAGUCGAGAGGUCUUGCGCCGAAAAUGUCCGGGGCUAAAACACAACACCGAAGCUUAGGAAUGUAGCAAUACAUUGGUAGAGGAGCAUUUUUAUAGGCGUAGAAGCUGUACCGAUAAGGAGCAGUGGAGUAAUAAAAAGAGAGAAUGCCGGAAUGAGUAGCGAGAUGAAGGUGAGAAUCCUUCAGGCCGAAUAUCUAAGGUUUCCAGAGUAAAGCUGAUCUGCUCUGGGUAAGUCGGGGCCUAAGGCAAGGUCGAAAGACGUAGUCGAUGGACAACAGGUUUAGAUUCCUGUACCGCUUAUUAUCAGAAAUGUGGGGACACAGAGACGUAUCCAAACCCAGGAAUGCAAAGACUGGGGCAAGCCAAGUACUGGUAUGGUAGGAAAAUCCGCCAUGCAACAGGAAUAGGUGAUGCGGACCGAAAUCAAGUAGGGAAGUUGGAGAAGGAGCUGUCAAGAAAAGCCGCUAUUGUGUAAUAAGUGCCCGUACCGUAAACCGACACAGGUGGAUGAGGAGAGAAUCCUAAGGCCGGCGGGAGAAGCAUUGUUAAGGAACUCGGCAAAAUGACCCCGUAACUUCGGGAGAAGGGGUGCCAUCCUCCGGGAUGGCCACAGAAAAUAGGCUCAAGCAACUGUUUAGCAAAAACACAGGUCUAUGCGAAACCGAAAGGUGAGGUAUAUGGGCUGACGCCUGCCCGGUGCUGGAAGGUUAAGAGGAGAAGUCAGGCAACGAAGCUUUGAAUUGAAGCCCCAGUAAACGGCGGCCGUAACUAUAACGGUCCUAAGGUAGCGAAAUUCCUUGUCGGGUAAGUUCCGACCCGCACGAAAGGCGUAAUGAUUUGAGCGCUGUCUCAACAAUGCACCCGGUGAAAUUGAAGUACCAGUGAAGAUGCUGGUUACCUGCGCCAGGACGGAAAGACCCCAUGGAGCUUUACUCUAGUUUGAUACUGGGAUUCGAUUAUACCUGUACAGGAUAGGUGGGAGGCGAAGAAGCAAGGACGCCAGUCUUUGCAGAGCCGCUGUUGGGAUACCACCCUUGUAUGAUUGGAUUUCUAACCUGCACCCGUGAUCCGGGUGGGGGACACUGUCAGAUGGGGAGUUUGACUGGGGCGGUCGCCUCCGAAAGGGUAUCGGAGGCGCUCAAAGGUUCCCUCAGAAUGGUCGGAAACCAUUCAAAGAGUG